GUGGGGAAUUUUGCGCAAUGGGGGAAACCCUGACGCAGCAACGCCGCGUGAGUGAUGAAGGCCUUCGGGUCGUAAAGCUCUGUCAGAGGGGAAGAAGUGUGGGGUGGCUAAUAUCCAUUUCACUUGACGGUACCUUCAAAGGAAGCACCGGCUAACUCCGUGCCAGCAGCCGCGGUAAUACGGAGGGUGCGAGCGUUGUUCGGAAGUAUUGGGCGUAAAGCGCGUGUAGGCGGUUUUUUAAGUCUGAUGUGAAAGCCCUGGGCUCAACCCGGGAAGUGCAUUGGAAACUGGGAGACUUGAAUACGGGAGAGGGCAGUGGAAUUCCUGGUGUAGGAGUGAAAUCCGUAGAUAUCAGGAGGAACACCGGUGGCGAAGGCGGCUGCCUGGACCGAUAUUGACGCUGAGACGCGAAAGCGUGGGGAGCAAACAGGAUUAGAAACCCGGGUAGUCC
rnacentral:rRNA from 1 species